UGCAUGGAUUUUAGGGCUGAUUUUGAGUUUUCUUCGAUCGAUUUCAGGUUGGUUCGAUGAUCGCGAAGACGGAGGAGGUAUGUGAGCUGCUUCCUCCAGUAUUGCCUUGUGGUUUGAGGGUGGGAGCUGACGGAACCAAUCAGAGGGACGAGGAGGGUGAUCAUUUGCCCCUGUAUGCCAACGAGGUCCGUCGCAUGUUGAUUUCGAUCUGGAACGCAUUGAUCCAUCGAAAAUCCAAAUGCAUAUUGUUUUGAAUCCGAGGCCUAUAAUGACGUGCGCGUACAUAAUAAUCUCUCGGUCCUUCGCGACCCAGCGACGCAAUCGGGAAUCCAAAGACGCGUAGGAGGAGGAAUAGAGAGCGCGAUGUGUCUGCAGGUCGUCCUCGAUAUCGAAGUAAAGAUCAUGCAGGACUAGGAUCCUAAAAGAAAGCAGGGCACCAUGACUCCUUUGCCAGAUCAUGUUAUAAUUCAUGCCUCAAAGGAGGAAGAGGAGUUACAUUCCAAAAGAAUUUGAAUGCUACAACCUUUGCAAAAGGAAUUAGGAUUACAUUUCUUCUUCAUAAGCUUCCGGCAUGUAACAAGACAAAGUUCUUCUGAUUUAUGCACUUGAACUAGUCAUAGAUUAACAUGAGGGAAGAUUGGGAGUCCUUGGGCCCAUAUCUUAGUUUGUUCCAAUCUUCUCAGGAGUGUUAUUUGUUCUUAUCAUUUGUUUUGAAAACCGACGUGGUUACUCCCACAAAUUUUUACUGUUUUA